AAAAAAAAAACCCCCAUCGAAAUGCAAAUUAAUGUUAUUGUAUCUUUCAAUGGAAUUAUUUCCAACGGAAUAAUGCAUCUUUAAGACCAAGAAUGAAUCACACCAACCGAAAACGGCAGGCGCCGGCUGCAUACUCUUUUUUGAUUAUUAUUUUUCUUUAAUUUAAACAAUGUGUUAUCUUAUCUCAUACUAUAGAUAGUGAAUAAAUAAACAUAUUAUAAAUUGCAAUUAAUCUGAAAUUAUACACCUGCAUUGAACUUUUAAAGACCAUAUAGGCAUAGAAAAAUGAGAAACUUGCAGAUGUAAACAUUCUGGAGUCGGCUUUUUUAUUUUUAUAUUCCUCCUGUAAAUAAGAGUUCCGUUUCUGUUGGUUUAAAUGUCCCGUCAGCGUCACAUAUUCUGAUUCAUUGUCUAUAAUUAUGUAAUUAAGUGUUUUAUAAUCAAGUUGUAACAUUUCUAUCGAAUUAAAUUUUAUUUCAUGUCAUUUGAUUUCCGAAGGUUACACAAAUCUCCACACAUAUCAGAAAUGUCCUCGAACAUGACGUAGUUAUCUUUUCCAGACCUUUGGGUUCUUUUUGAUGCAAUAUCAAAUACCCGCUCACAUAUUUCCGGUCCUUUUCUCCAACCGAAACUAGCAGGAUAGCAAGUCAUAGAACAAUCGAGAAAACACGAAACUUUUCCUU
rnacentral:lncRNA from 1 species